rnacentral:piRNA from 1 species
UGCCAGGCUGUGCCAAGAAGUGAGGGC